CGGAAUAUAGCGCAGUCCGGUAGCGCACCUGCCUUGGGAGCAGGGGGCCGCAAGUUCGAAUCUUGCUAUUCCGA
rfam:Cetobacterium ceti strain ATCC 700028 genome assembly, contig: EI52DRAFT_scaffold00042.42